GAGCCUGCUUCGGAUUCUGUGUCUCCUUCUCUCUGCCCACCCCCCUCCACUCACACUCUGUCUCUCUCAAAAAUAAAUAAAACUUAAAAAAAUUUUUUUAAGUAAUUUUAAAAGAAGAGUUUCCGGGUGGCGUGUUUUCUGAAUCUGCACAGCUCUGAAUGUCUUCUUUUGUUUUCCUAAAUUCACUACUGGGGUACAACAUGUAUUUUAUCACAACUUCUCACCUUCGAAAUCGAUUUAGACUUUGGCCCACUGUGUCUGGGCAUUUUAUCCUACAACGGUGAAGCCUGCAUUCAGCCAGAAUUCCAUUGCUUUGUCGUGCCAGUGGAGAAGUGUUAUGGACUAAAUUGUGUCCUCCCACCAAAUUCUUAUAUUGAGGCCCUAACCCCCACGGUGACGUACUUGGACACAGGGCUUGGAAGAGGCUGUUAAUGGUUGGAUGAGGUCACAAGCGUAGGCCUGAAUAAGAUUAGUGCCCUUAUAAAAAGAGGAAGAGGCCUCAGAGAUCACCCUACAUGCACAGAAGAAGGGCAUGUGAGGAGAGGAGGAAGGAGGAGGCCCCACUCCAAGCCAGGAGCAAAAUCUCACCAGGAAUGGAGUCUGCUGGCACCUCCAUCUGGGACCUCCAACCUCCAGGCCCGUGAAAAAUAAAUGCCUAUUGUCCAAGGUG